rnacentral:rRNA from 1 species
UACGGGGGGGGCAAGCGUUGUUCGGAAUUACUGGGCGUAAAGGGCUCGUAGGUGGCCAACUAAGUCAGACGUGAAAUCCCUCGGCUUAACCGGGGAACUGCGUCUGAUACUGGAUGGCUUGAGUUCGGGAGAGGGAUGCGGAAUUCCAGGUGUAGCGGUGAAAUGCGUAGAUAUCUGGAGGAAUACCGGUGGCGAAGGCGGCAUCCUGGACCGAUAUUGACGCUGAGGAGCGAAAGCUAGGGGAGCAAACGGG